AUUUCAAGAUGCCUCCCAUCCAGACAUUACAGUUGUUGUGGACAGGAAUGAGGCCAGAAGAAUCAGAGAAGGAGAUAUGCAACUCAUUGAAACAAUUAAAAAAAGAUGGAAAGAGACAAAUGCACCUGCACAGCAAUGUGAUAAAAGUGAAGCCUCUGCCACAAAUGCCACCACUGCUGAAGAUUAUUGUCAUGUUGAUGAAGACUCUGUAUGCAUAUCUGAG